CACAGGCCUCAACCUGUUCCCACAUAUACCACAGUCCUAAAGGCCAAUCUCACUUCCACCGCACCCCACUAAUGGCACCAAGUCUAUUUCCAGGCAGCUGGUGACCAGAAUUGAGAACUUGCCCCAGACCAUGAGCCUCCCCAUUGAGAAAGCAAGCCGACUCACAGUUUUUCGGCAUCUCAAGGAGCCUGCAGCAGUGAUCCAGGUCCUUCAAAGGGUCUUUGGAUUCUCUCAGCUUUCCUGGCCUUCGAUGAAUUGGACGAUGUCCACCCACAUGGUGAGGGCAGAUCUUUCUUACUCCACCCACCGAUGCAGAUGUCAAUCUCUUCUGGAAGCACUUUCAAGGGCAUACCCAGAGCUAAAGCUUGACCAGCAUUAGUUGGUAAAUAUGUGAUUAGGAACUCUUUAUGAACCAGAAAAGAGAAAUCUUGCACUGAUUGGAAUAUGGCAGCCACUCACCAUCUCCCCUGUCUGCUCUCACUCAGUUUAUGUGACCCAAUGGGAAUGGAGAAUCUCAGGCAUAAAACCAACUGCUUCGUGGGUUACUCUGGAAAAUUCUAAACUGAAGCUUUUUGAGAAAGGCGACAUUACCUCAGAACUUCCACAUGUAGCUACUGUGGAGUUUCUGUUUAUGUGAAUGGAUAUUUUCACCAGAUAUUGGAAACAUGCUGAAGCUGGAUUCCAGUGCAAUAAAGGCAACUCAUUUAGCCAUUGGCCUGUGAUACUAUGAGAAAUACAGUUAAAUUAGACGAAUGCUCCACCAGGAAUUGUGGCCAAAAUAAAUGAUCAUUUUUUAAAAAAGAAAAAGAUAAAGACACAACAGAUUGUCAUUUUUUUCUUCUUGUCGAUGUCCUUGAAAAACAGACUUGAAGUCUCAAAUGAACACCUUAAAUUCCAAAUAACCAUUGAGGCAUUGGGGAAGACUUGUCUCCUUGUUGAUUCUAUGGAUGGAUAGAUGGAUGAUGAGUACUACAAAUAUUUUUAUCUCCUAUGUAUAAAUUAAAGGAAUAGUAACUGAGAAGGGCUUCAGAAAGCUUAUUGGAGGAUAGGCAUUCAGAGAAAAAACUGAAGGAUGAGUAAUUACAGGUGAAGUUGGAGGAGAGGCUAUUUUUGAUUGAAAGAAAAGUAAAGAGAAAGGCAUAGACAGAACUAAAGGAAAUGCAAUUUUACCUCUCAUACGAAGAGCAAUGAUUGUCCCCUCACUUUCAUAUUUCAAUAGAAGAAAAAUCUUUUUCCAAAUAAAAAUCAGAAAACUAAAAAAAUUAUUGAAAUAUUUCUAAUAAAUAACAUUUUCCUAUUUAUUACUUUAUUGCUAUAUUUUCUUAUAAAAUAUAUUUAAAUUAGAUACACAUAAAUAAUAUAUAAUCUAUCUUUAAAUUAGCAAAAUUUUAUACAAUACAAAUCACAAUUUUUAUAUUAUAUAUUCUUACCAUUCUUGUUCAUUUCUUGUCCAUAUAAAUUCACAUUAAUAUAAUUAUUAUUAUAGUGCAGAUACUACUUAAUAUUCCUUUUAACAUUAUUUGGUAAAAAAAAAGUUUUAGCAUUAUAUUUUUAAUUAUUAUAUAUAAUUAUUCAUAGCAUUCCAUUGAAUAGAUAAACUAUUAUUUAGUUUAACCAUUCUAAUGUUUCAAUAUUUUUGCUAUUAUACAUAAUGCUGCAAAGAAUAUCUUACUAGUGUGGCCAUUUUACUGCAAUGUUUUUUACCUUAGAUUUUAUUCUGUGAAUAACAUUACUAAAUGAAAGGAAUUUAUCUUUCUUAUGGUUUUUAAUAUGUAUUGCCAAUUGCAAUCACAAAACAAUCACUAGUUGCACACCAAUCAGCGGCAUAUUAGUGUAUUAAUUUCACCAAGUCCUGCCUUCAUUGGGUGCUACCAUGUUUUGGACUUUUUAACUGUUGAAUAAUUUAUCAGGUAUAUAAAUAAUCCAAAGAAUUUAAACUUUAAUGAACUGUUCCUCUACUGCUAAUCUAGCCCACAUAGGGAUUGUGAAGAUAGCUCAUUUAAUAAAUACUUCUUGACCACUGUCUUUGUUCUCAUUCCAUGCAGCAAAAGUAGCAGAGAAAAAGAAGCACAAGAGGAGAGAGGUGAUGAGGAUUCUGAACACAGAAGGCCUUCUAGGCCCUGUGUAUUAGGAUUUUGCCUUUAAUUAUGAGUGCCAUGGGGAGCCACUGUAAGGGAAACAAUUUCAUGUGAUCCUUGUCCUUUGGGAGCUUUUAAAAUCUUAAUGACGAGAUUAGAAUCAGAUGUUGUUCCCCAUCUCCCCAAAAUCCUGCCUCAACUCCAUCCUCAUCAUUGUGCAGAGAUCAGAAUACCAUGACCAGUCAUUGGAAAUACUGUUCCUCUCUCAGUAAGAAUGGAAGAAGGGAGGGCAUGGAGGGCCUCCUGUAUCUGGAGCAUUGUUAGGUGCUACAUAUCCAAUCUAAUUUUGUCCAACAACAGUCCUGUAAGGCAGGUCCCAUUUCUACAGAGGAAGAAACUGAGGCUCAAGGUGCUCACUUUGGGAAGACCUUCUGUUUGUCUUCCUUACAAAGAGAGAAAACAUUAGAUGCCUGAGUGCGCUCAAGGAGCUUUGACAGAAUCUGAAUCAUUUUUACUCUGUCUUUCAUGUUUAAAUUUCCAACAUACCUUUGUCGUUUUCAUCCACUGGAAACUGAGGCAUCCCAUGAUUCACAAAAUUGGCCCAUUGUUUAAACUGUCACCCUUCUUUCCUUAAUUCCACUCAUGAGCAUUUGGACCCAACCAAAGGAGGUUGGUUGGAUCCCACAACAGCAAGUCCACUGAACCGGGAAUAUGCAAUGGAAAUUGAAAUCUAUAAUGUGUUCUAUGAUUUUGAACAUGUCUACUCUCUCCCUGCAUCUCAAUCCCUCAAAUGUGCAGUGGGGGGAUGGAGAGAUAAGGCAGAGGAUCUCUGGGGAUCAUUCUUGCUUUAAUGAUCUAUGACAAAAUUUUCCCAGUGUACUGCACAGCCAGAAAGAGCCAAGGCUGAGAGCUAUUUCUCCCCAGAAAUGUGAUUCCACAGUCUUGGUUUCCUGGAACAACUGAAGAGUGUGGUAAUAGAAUCCAUGAAGAGAAACUUUAUGUGGCUAAUAUUCCAAAGCUUUCUAAGUGCAGUAAUAAACAGAGCACAUCUUGGUGACACAGAAAUUAUGAGGCAGAGACCAUAAUAAUAAUUCAUGUCUGCUUCUAUUCACUAUUGACAAGAUGUGCUUCCACUCCCAAGACACCAGAGCAGCAGAAAAAUAAGUAAUUCCCUGAGUUGCCACCACACUAUUUUGCUUUAUGCUAGUUUUUCUUCCUUUCUUUUCUGUCACCCACAAAAGUGAAACCCAGUCAUCUACAGAAGCUGCCUUUUGUCUAGGAGUAAGUGGUGGUUAUUAUCUGCAUCAUAUGAAGCUAGGCAUCAUGGUUUCCAUGCUGGAAAGCAAAGCUCCCCUAUGUUAGGCAUCUUUGGUUUACAAUAACAUACACUCAAUAACUGAGAAGAAAUUUUGAAUAGAUCACACUUGCAAAAUAUUUCCCAGACUGAAAAUUUCACGGAGACUGGUGAUCACGUAGGCCAAGUGUACUUUAUUUCCCCCGUCUCUCCAUUCCUCAGCCCCUGAAAUAAUUCCUAGGAGAUUUUUAGCUAACUCCGGCUGAGUCCACCAACAGAUGUGAAACUUAUUACCUUACUGUUUUGUGGCCCUUCCUAUUCUAUUUUCUUGCAACAGCUCCAAUUAUUAAAGUGAAAUACGACAUCUUAGCCCUUUUGGAGCAAGGCAGGAAGCAUUUAUUCUUUGAUUGUGUAACUGUUCUUCAAGAAUGUGUAAUGAGCCUCACACCUCUUCUAAGUCUUCUUUUUUCCAUGUUAAACAUUCACAAUUUCUUCCCCAUUCCUGGUUGGUAUAGGUCUCAGAUCUUGCUCUCAUAUUGUUUAGGCUUCCAAAGUGGUGCCACUUGACCAACACAAACUUGGAAAUAAGACAUCCUAAGCUUGAAACAACACAUCCAAUGUGGUCUAUCUUAGAGAAAAUGAUUGAAAUUGUCACCUGCCUUAAUCGGUACAUUUCAACUCUAUUACAAUAAUUUUGCCUAAGAAUGUUUUGAUUUUUCCAGCAACUGUGGCACACACUUGGUUUAUGUUUAGUCCUGUGAUCAACAUAUGAGCUUUGCUCUUCCUCCAAGGCACAAGCAGGAAUGUAGUGAGUAGCAAAGUGCUCUUGGUCACUCAAAUGUAUUGACAAAACAGGACCUCUUUAUGAAAUUAUAAAGUCAUCCCAGAUUGUAUUUUGGACAUUUCUUUUAUUUCUCAUGUUCUCAUACUUUCUGUAGUCUCCUCUGCCCCCAACAUACAUGCCUGACUUCUACUCAAAAGUAGUUCUACUCUGCUGUAGUAGUUCAGAGCCUGGCUUGUAAAGGCAGCCUGCUCAGGGUCAUAUUCCAGCUCUGACAUUUGCCUGCCCUGUAGGUUUCAGAAACUCAAUGUCUUUUGCUUGUUUAAGAUUUUUUACGUUAUGUAUAAAGUAAUAAUACUAUCUCCCUCAUUAUGUUGUUAUGAGAAUUUAAUGAUUUCAUAUAUCUUAGGCACUUAGGACAGUGCCUGGCACAUACUGAGUGCUAGCUGAUACAAUAAGCCUAGCAUGGUAUUUGGGACAAUCAGGUCUGAGGCUCGGGGUACCAGGGAUAUAGUCAUUACCCAGGUCCAGUAAUAUAUGUCACUUCUUUUUUUUCAGACCUUCAAUUUCUUUAGCUAUAAAAUAGGGAAAUCAAACAGUAAGAAAUAACAACAAUUCUUUCCAGCUCUGUCAUUUUUAAAACUGUAAUUGUCUGCAAGUCUUUGAUCUUCCAGCUCCUGACAUGGGUGGAGCAAGCAUCCCCAGCUUGGAUAAUAGGGGGAACAAGCUGAUGAUAUGACUCUUUUUGUAGACAUUGCUACUAGUGUUCAAACAAAUAAAGAUGUAAAGGCAAAAUGUUUCAUAAUUCUGGCAGGCAAAUUUGGAAAGACUUCUGAGGUCAGCGCCGCCUUAUCAGAGCCCCUUACAUCACACUACAUAGAGAGGCUGCCCACUCCCCAAAUUGCUACAAUUGGUAAUGUGGUAGAAGUAUUAAGAAAAGCCUGGGCAGUCAGAGAUGAGAGAUCAUGUCAUUUUGAGGGCUGAUAUAAAGAAAGGAAUCCAUUUUUCAUGGAAAUGCUUGGCUUUGCAUGAGCCUUUGAAAACCCACACAGUAAAUGCAGUGGAAAAGGCAAUGCACCACAGCAUAAGGCCAGAGGUCUGGGGAUACCUCAACUACAAAACCAACACAGCACUUAAUUGUAGCCAUAUGUCUGAAUCAGCCAGAAAUGCAACUUCUUCAUCAGUCCAAUGGGAUACUAAUGCUCUCGCUUGACUUUCUCACAGAACUGCAAGAGAUCAUGAACGUAAAGGCAUUUUGAAAGUUCAUUUCAACUGCAAUAUGGUAGUGACAGUAAGGUUCCUGACCUUCCAAGGCCAGAAUCUGUGUCCUGUAACCUCCACCACAAUUUAGUUCCUGAAACUACACACAAAAACACAGCCACUCUAGAAGAUGAAAGUGCAAAAUUACUUUCUUCCCCUACUCAAUGCCAUUAAAUGGCUUCCUUGACAUCUACAGCUCUUUGCAGUAAUGUUCACUAUGACUAAAUGUGUGGCUAAUAAUACCUUUUAUGAUCUGACCAUUUUAUCGCCUUAGCCUCAUUUUUCUCAUGCUUUGCUUUUAAGAUUUCAUGUCUUUGCUAUUGUGAAUAGUGCUGCAACAAACCUGCACAUGUACCCUUGAACUUAAAAUAAAAGUUAAAAAAAAAAUGUUCCUGAAGGAAAAAAAAAAAGUCUAAGAUUUUGUAGACUGAUCUUCCAGUUUCUUGAACAUACACAUUUCCUCUCACUUUAUGCUGCCACUUCUGCCUGGCUAGCUCCUACUCAUCUUCAGGUCUCAGCCUUUUACCUUUUAUUUGUUAUGUUAUUUUAUUUUUUUGAGACUGAGUCUUGCUCUUGUCACCCAGGCUGGAGUGCAGUGGCGCAAUCUCAGCUCACUGCAACCUCAACCUCCAGAGUUCAAGUGAUUCUCCUGCCUCAGCCUCCCAAAUAGCUAGAAUUACAAGUGCC
rnacentral:lncRNA from 1 species